AACCCGACUCCAUGAAGCUGGAUUCGCUAGUAAUCGCGCAUCAGCCACGGCGCGGUGAAUACGUUCCCGGGCCUUGUACACACCGCCCGUCAAGCCAUGGAAGCCGGGGGUGCCUGAAGUCCGUGACCGCGAGGGUCGGCCUAGGGUGAAACCGGUGAUUGGGGCUAAGUCGUAACAAGGUACC
rnacentral:rRNA from 1 species